rnacentral:rRNA from 1 species
UACGUAGGGCGCAAGCGUUGUCCGGAAUUAUUGGGCGUAAAGAGCUCGUAGGCGGCCUGUUACGUCUGCUGUGAAAUCCCGGGGCUUAACCCCGGGCGUGCAGUGGAUACGGGCAGGCUAGAGGCAGGCAGGGGAGAACGGAAUUCCCGGUGUAGCGGUGAAAUGCGCAGAUAUCGGGAGGAACACCGGUGGCGAAGGCGGUUCUCUGGGCCUGUACUGACGCUGAGGAGCGAAAGCGUGGGGAGCGAACAGG